GCCGAGUGUGGUGGUGGACACUUGUAAUCCCAGCUACUUGGGAGGCUGAGACAGGAGAAUUGUUUGAACCCAGGAGGCAGAGGCUGCAGUGAGCCGAGAUCGCCACUGCACUCCAGCCUGGGUGACAGAGUGAGACCCUGUCUCAA
rnacentral:sRNA from 1 species